rnacentral:rRNA from 1 species
GGAGGAAAGCAGGGGAUCGCAAGACCUUGCGCUCAUUGAGCGGCCGAUGCCUGAUUAGCUAGUUGGUGAGGUAAAGGCUUCCCAAGGCGACGAUCAGUAACUGGUCUGAGAGGACGACCAGCCACACUGGGACUGAGACACGGCCCAGACUCCUACGGGAGGCAGCAGUGGGGAAUUUAAGACAAUGGGGGAAACCCUGAUCCAGCCAUGCCGCGUGAGUGAAGAAGGCCUUCGGGUUGUAAAGCUCUUUCAGCCGGAACGAAACGGUCACGGCUAAUACCUGUGACUACUGACGGUACCGGAAGAAGAAGCACCGGCUAACUACGUGCCAGCAGCCGCGGUAAUACGUAGGGUGCGAGCGUUAAUCGGAAUUACUGGGCGUAAAGCGUGCGCAGGCGGUUUUGUAAGUCAGAUAGAGAAUCCCCGGGCUUAACCUGGGAACUGCGUUGAAUUAAGAGAGCUAGAAGGGC